GAAGUUGGAGUCGCUAGUAAUCGCAGAUCAGCAACGCUGCGGUGAAUACGUUCCCGGGCCUUGUACACACCGCCCGUCACGUCAUGAAAGUCGGUAACACCCGAAGCCGGUGGCCUAACCCUUGUGGAGGGAGCCGUCGAAGAUGGGAUCGGCGAUUGGGACGAAGCCGUAACAAGGUAGCCGUACCGGAAGGUGCGGCUGGAUCACCUCCUUU
rnacentral:rRNA from 1 species